UCCUCUCCCUCCCUAGCCACCGCACCGACGUUCUGUGCUAGCCUAGAUGCUGCUUCAGAGUGGACGUGCGCGUGCUCGCCGGCUGACCAAAUCGCUGUUUCCGCCUCCUCUACGUUUACGAGAGGUUCGACAAGGUCCUGGUUGUUGUUCGGGAAUCACGGGAAGGAGGGGCCUGACCACAUCACGCGUCUGCUCUGGUAAAGCACAUCCACCAGCCAGAUCGGAAACUCGGGAUUCCGCAGUCCCACCUCCAACGGCCGACGCGCGGGGGCGAUGGGAAACUACGUCUCCGCCAUGGCGUCCUCCACCGGCUCCUCCUCCGGGCAGAGGUGGAUGCAUCACCCAGCCCUCGCUGCAACACAACGCCCAAAUCGUGUUUGACUUCCCGAUGGAGGGCGGCACAGGGGAAGGCAUCCGCUCCAACUGCAGCCACAUCAGGCCCAUGGUCGAGAUCGACCCGUCGUCCCAGCUUCUUCACACCGCCGUGCUGGGCCCCGUUCGGCGGGGUGCUCUGGGACGAAAGCGUGGUGCCCCAGAGCGGCGUGGGUUAGGCACAAGGAUGUCUACCGCUGCUCCUCUUCUUCUGCACGGAGGAGCUCGAGAUCUCCGUCGAUGCGCUGCUUGCAGUGGGGCGGUGCGGAGGAGCUCCAGUCUCCACCAGCGCGCGGUAUGUACAUGAACAAGGACGGAGCAGAUUCUGGUCGACGCCCGUCGGCUGGAGUCCACGACAUCGAGCAGGCCACGCCACACCGCGGGAGGAGCAGGCGCCGCGCCGGGAUCUGAUCACUUGUUGGUCGGCGCAGGGUCUGGGGCGAGCGAGCUCCUCUUCCUCCUUCCCUUGCGGACGCCGGCAGACUCCAACGCGGUCGAGCGAGCGGGAGUUGAGGAGGGGCGCUGCGGCACCGGUCGAGCAGAAGUUGGAGCCAAGCAUUGGGGCCGGAGGUAGCCGUCAGCAAGCGACGCUGCUUGGGCGACGUGGUAGAGGAGGCGGGGAACAGCGGCCAGCGUCGAGGUCGGCCACGGCCAGGCCGGUACAAGCUUCCGGCGAGGUAUUGCCGAUAUGGUCAAGGACGGCUCCGCUGCCGCGGCGCUCUACGUGUGGACGCCCGUGCAACAACCAAAUUGUUGUCGCUGGCUCGGGGAGCACGGGUGGAAAAGGCGGUCCGAGAAGCUAGGCGCCACCGCCGAUGCUCUGACCGCGUCCCCUUGAUUCACACCACGCCCAGCCAUUGCAUAUGUGGAUCUGGCAAGUGAAUCAAAAUUGUGGAACUGCAUAUGUGCUGCCAACUUUAGUCACUCCACUCCGAAUUUGAAGCUCUUACUCUCGGCUAGAUGCAGAAACUGAAGACGGCGUUUUGAGAAUGGCUCAGUUCUGUGAUUCAGGGAUUCAUGUACAUCUCAAGAAGAAAACAUUAAGCUAUAACUCUUAUGAAGGCUCGGGUAUGGUGUAACCUGAAUUACUUACGCAUAAUCCUUUUGUGGAAAAAGGACACGCAUUGCAAGGAGGAAGCGCAACGCACCCCAUCAAAACGAAUCUACAGUGCCCCAAUCGUUAAUGAAUGGCUAAGAUGUUUAACUUGCUUAGGUUAAGAGGACAAGCCCAAAGAAGUAAUGUGCCUGUCUAGCGAAUGACGUUGUGCUACCGCGAUCCAUGUUUGGCGUUGUUGGCAUUGCGAUGGAUAUUAACAUAGAAGAUGGGAAGAUUCGGCCCUUGCACGUUCACUAGAAGCUGCUCCUGUGAGAGGUGGAUGGAUGUUAGAGAUGAAGACCAGGACGUGAGGUACGCUCUGAGAGGAGGCCCUGGUAGAACUAGCAGCUCUAAGAUUUCGUUUACCUCAACACUGUGAAUUCUCAGGUUUGAAUCACACAAUCUACAGAGACAUAGAAUCAACUAAGUGAAUGUAAGUGCCAUUGUGACCUGAGUGCUUAGUAUACAUUUCAAUCGGUAAAUAUGCGGUGUGAUGAUCCAAUAAGAAUAUGAGCUGAAUUGGCGUCGUUGCCGUUUGGAAUCCUUGGCGUCGGGUCUCCUAUGGUGCAGCUCCGGAGCUAUAUACUCAUUUAAGACGUUCUCUGGUUACCAAGUGUGUGUUGAGUUCUUGAAUCCAAGAUGUUUAUCAUUUCGUUUAUGUUCAAUGGUGUAAUGAAAUUUGAGACAGAUCAUCCAUAUAUGUACCACAUGCAUCUACUCUCGCCCUGGUAAAUGAUUCCUGUGACAAUCACAUACGAAUGAUACUGAAAACAACAAAUAGGCAUUCAGGAGUCUGCUAUUAUGCACAUCAAUGUACACAUACAUGUGCCACAUCCACAUGUAACUACACUUUUGCUUGAU